UGGGGAAUAUUGCACAAUGGGCGAAAGCCUGAUGCAGCAACGCCGCGUGAGUGAUGAAGGUCUUCGGAUUGUAAAGCUCUGUCUUUUGGGACGAUAAUGACGGUACCAAAGGAGGAAGCCACGGCUAACUACGUGCCAGCAACCGCGGUAAUACGUAGGUGGCGAGCGUUGUCCGGAUUUACUGGGCGUAAAGGGUGCGUAGGCGGAUGUUUAAGUGAGAUGUGAAAUACCCGGGCUUAACUUGGGUGCUGCAUUUCAAACUGGAUAUCUAGAGUGCAGGAGAGGAGAAUGGAAUUCCUAGUGUAGCGGUGAAAUGCGUAGAGAUUAGGAAGAACACCAGUGGCGAAGGCGAUUCUCUGGACUGUAACUGACGCUGAGGCACGAAAGCGUGGGUAGCAAACAGGAUUAGAUACCCUGGUAGUCCACGCCGUAAACGAUGAGUACUAGGUGUAGGAGGUAUCGACCCCUUCUGUGCCGCAGUAAACACAUU
rnacentral:rRNA from 1 species